rnacentral:rRNA from 2 species
UGGACCCACCUGACUCCAUCCCGAACUCAGAAGUGAAACGAAACAGCGUCGAUGGUAGUGUGGGGUCUCCCCAUGUGAGAGUAGAACAUCGC